UCCUCAUUUGCUGUCCCCCAAAUUACAGGAA
rnacentral:piRNA from 1 species